rnacentral:RNase_MRP_RNA from 2 species
CAAGCAAGCCAAGGACCAUAUGUUUUUUGUGUUACACUUUCAGCAUCUAAGCUUAUUAUAUUCAACACAAGGAGAAAGUCCCCGGAAAACAAAAUAUCUUCUGUCCAAUGAUUAAAGAUUAGGGCAGUGGGGUAUUUAGUAAAGCAACUUUGUUUGUUUGUUUUUCAUAAUAAAAGUAAUAUGGUCACCCUAUAAUAAUGGGGCAACUUAAUGGGGCUUACUCUGGCUUGUUG